ACAGCAACCAGCAACAGCUGCUAUGUCAGCCUGGGCCCUAGAGUGAGAAUUAUAUGAGUGGAGGCCAUGAACAUUUAGGACAAGGGUCCGCCGCAUCUUGGAAGGAAACUUCAAAGCUCAUUUAAAGUCAGCCUCUCACAUAGCCCUGCUGGUCUAACUUUCUUCUGAAUGUGAUUUCAGAAGUAAAACCAGGCCAGGGGCUGGGACUCAGGUGAGUCUCACUGACCGUGACCUCUGGAGAGUCAACUGAAAUGGACAGUGCUAGGACUGCUUUUUUCUAUAUCAGACACGUGGGCUCCUGCUGUGUCUUCCUGGAAAGCAGAGGCCAAGGAUGGAGCAGACCAAGAGGAUGCCAGGAAAAAUCACAAAGAAGCCCAGAAAGCACAGCUGGAAGCCAAGAACCCUAUUUUUGGUUUGUGUGGGUGGAAGGUGAGGGACAACAUAUAGUGACCAACAGGAUUCUUCAUUUGAAAGAGAAUGGAGUACAUCAGACCUGUGUAUUUAGGUGAAGUAUGAUAAACAUCAUCAUACUUCAAAGAUUAUGAACAUCAAAGAUUAUGGAAAGGAACAUGACUGCUUAGUUUAUUCCAUUACCAGUGAUCUGCUUGUUUGUUCAUUUGCUUACCCAUCCAUUCAUUUAUUCAUUCAUUCCUCCAUCCAUUCUCUUUCACUUAUUCUACAAUCAUGAUUGUAUGCCUACCAUAUCGCUAGAGAGAGGGCAGGAAAAGAUCCAAGGAUGUGAAUACAAUCUUCUGCUUCAUGAUGAGAGCUAAAGGAAUCUGUAAAGACUUUGUCUUUUUCAUUUUUCUCUCUCCUACAUAGACCCUGGAAAAUGUUUUAUUUCUUAUAAUUUGCCUGAGGUUUACUCAUCCACUACCAGAGCUCUGAAAACACUCUUCAGAACACUAUUUUAAAAUAAUGACAAUGACAAUAAUAGAUAACAUAUAUUCAGUGUUUUUUGUAUGUGAAGCAAUGUAAUAACCAUUUAAAAUGAUUGUAACUAUACUUUAUAAGAGUAUGAUGAAACAGGCACUAUUAAAAUGCUAGUUUUUCACACAGCUAAUAUGAGAGAGAGCUGGGAUUUGGAGCCUCCAUUCAUGGCCAUUAUAUGGUCUGUCUAAUGAAUGAAAUGUUUGACCUUAGAGAAAACUUGAAAUGCAUAGUUUUCUUUGCUGACUUGAAUGAUAUAAGUUUAAAAAUCCGAUAGUGGUUGCUAGUUGAAAAUUCCUAUUCCUUGGGAAACUGUUGAAAGUCUGUUUAGUACUAACCCCCCUCAUUAAUGGCCAUUUGCAAAGCCAGGCCAAGUUUAGUCUUCUACCAGCACUGAAGAAACACAUUUUUACCCAGAAGAAAUGAGGGUGAAAUCCUCUGAUAACUGGAAGAUGCUGGAUGUUCUGGAAAGAAAAGUAAUUUUUUUUUCAAUCUCUGGAAAUUGCUUUUUUUGUUUUAAGUAAGGGUGGCUCAGUAGAUGCUAACAGAGAAGCUGGGAUCAGCUAAUCUGGAGAAGAUUCUGAGAGAAUGAGUUGGGGAAGCUCACACUGAGAAAAUGAGAAGAUUGGUAGGAAGGGCGGUUUCUUGCUGUGUCCAAGAACAGGAAUUGAGAAAUGGUAUUAAGCUGAAGGUGAGAGGGGAACAAAGAAGACUUUGAAAGUUGCAUACAGGUUUGAAACAAAGUAUACCACAAGGAAUGGGAACAUGUAGAGCUGUUUUAAAAAUGUUUCUGUGUUUGUGUGAGUGUGUGUACUAGAUAUAUUUUUAAAAUGACUUUUCUCGGAAUUACAUCAUACUUUGAAGAUCAGCAUAGGAAGUGAAGAAGGAACAAAUAUUCACUGAGAGCAUUCACUAAGGGCCAGGAGCUCCCUGAAUACCACAUAUGCCACCGCUCUCUCUUGUGAUCCUGAAGGUCUGUGAGGCAGUUAUCACUAUGUAUGGUAUAUUUUCAAAGAAAGCAAAUAAAACCCAAUGUGACUAAGAAAGAUGCUAAAGUCAUACAGCUAAUUAGCUGUGGGUCCAGGAUUCAAACCAGUGCACCCAGCACAUGGUCUUCAAUAAAUAUUUAUUGAGCAGUGAAUACAUGAAUGAGUAAAUAAGAUGAAGCAAGCAAGCAAGCAGGUAGGCUUGUCUAACCCAAGUGUUCAUGUUCUAUCCUCUGUACUGGUGGUUUUUAAAUUGUGUGCCACAAAGGCCUUGGGUAACAUGAGGAGGGUUAGUAUGAGUGGCUGUCUAGCAGCAUGGGGCCCCAGGCUCCCUAUCUCUACUCCAACCAGGGCAUCUCUGCUUCUGUUUGUGUUAAACAUUGGGCUUUUGCCUGAGGUUUCAUUUGAAGAAGAGGGCCUUCUUCUAGAAAGUGUUUAUUACUCCUGCCCCAUGCCGUGUUCCCUCCUAAGUAUGCAUUAUGAACUAGUUAAGUUUAAUAAAGACAUAUAUUACUGUAAAGUUGGAAUUUAUACCAGUGUCUGAAUUCCAGUAGCAGCCCCCAUAUCUUGGUAAUCGAAAGCCAACUGUUUCUAAUAUCCGGCAUGCUGCUGAGGCCAUUAACAAUAGAUGAGCCAUCUAGGGCAUUAUGGCUAGCAGCCGGGACUACAACUUCAAGCUGUCUAGGUUCAACUGUGGCUCUGCCAUGACCUGGUGAAAUCUCAGGUAAAUGAUUCGACCUCUCCACACUUUAGCUUCCUCAUCCAUGAAAUGUGAUAGCUACCUUAUACAGCAUGGAAACUUUGUGCUCCAGUAAUAUGAAUGGGCUCACUAUAGCCAAGUGCACUUAGUUCCCUUGAUCUCACGUUUUUGUUUAUGCUGGCUCCCAACUUAAUGUGGUCUUCUCACUUUUCAUCUGACUGUGAAAACUCCAACCAAAGGUACUUAUAUUCCUCCCACUCAAUAAAUAUGAUGGCCUUGGUGUCAGUAAGGCGACAUGUGAAGAGAGAUAUCAGUCUGGCUUGCCAUACAUUACAAGAAUUUGCAGGCUUACCCUGACAGUCCUAGUCCAUGGGAGUGGGUGAUGGGGUACUAUUGUGUCACUGUCCGGGGUCCUGAAUAAUUAAAGAGUGCACAGUGGCUUUUACAAGAAUACUAAGAAUUAUUUAUUUGUUAAGGUAACACUAUCUGCUGUAGUAGGUAACCCUCUCUACCCCCAAAUCUGAGUAGCUUACCAUAUUAGAAGUCUUUUCCUGUUCUCAUAGGGUUCCAUUGGUGCUGGGGGUGAGGAGGGGAGGUGGUAAAGGGGUUUGUUCCACACAACCAUUCAGAGAUUCAUAUUGAUGAAGACGGCCAUCUUCAACAUAUAGUUUCCAGAGUUGUUCUGGGCUCAGUAUUUAGACUCCAGGUGGUAUAUCAGAGGAGAGAAGGAGAGUAGAGAACUGUGUGGCAGAUUUUUAUGAACCAGAUCUAGAAGGGACAUUCAUCACUGUCACUGGGAUGCUGUUAAUUAAAACUCGAGCAUACAACCAUUCCUAAGAAUAAAAGAGGCAGUGGGAUGUUGCUUAUUUGUGAGUUCAUUGGAAAAUCACUAGCUUGUUUUUGCCACAAAAUAUUUUUUAUGUUGUUACCCAAUACCCCCCCCCACUGAGACACACACACACACUCAACACAAAUACAACUAGAGCAAAAAAUUCAUUAAAUAAUCCUCUGUGUGUGAUAUAGUCUCAUAGUUUCUAUUCUAUUUUAUUGUUUUAAAGUGCUGUCAUGACCCAUUAA
ensembl:lncRNA novel transcript